rnacentral:lncRNA from 1 species
ACGAUGAAUUAACUAAAUAGUUCAGACCAGUGUUAAUGACUAAGAACCCUUUUCCAUAAAAAUAACUUCCUAAUGUCUUAGGUCAAUUCAAAUUCAUAGAAAGAUUUAUGCUCGUUAAUUCUCCUUAUCAUAGUACAAUAAUCCGAUAUCUCUAAAACGACUAUUGACCAAACAAUUAUUUCAGAUUCGGGUUUCAAAAGUUAUGGUUAGUAAUCAUUCGAUUCCUAAAUUCAAUUCAUAAAUUCGUCAAUUCAUAAAAAGCAUUACGCGCAGAAAUAACUGAAUAACAAUAAUACUAAAAAGGUCCCAAGGAUCUCAACAAUUUACAUGGUUCAAAUCAAUUCAAGGAAGAUCAUCUAUCAAUUCUAACCAACAGAGACUUAGUUACUCAUAACUAAAUUAAUAAGCAACAUGAGUAAAGAAGAAAAGAAAUAAACCAGGAGGCUAUGUGUUGUACCACUGCCGUCAAUCACUUCCGCCCCUUUUCCUCAAGUCUGCGUUUUUUCAAUGUAUCAGCCUCUCCCUAGGUUAAGAGCUAAGAUCCUAUUUAUAUGCUUUUUGAAGAGAAAAUCACGUGCCACUAAGAACAUGUCAAGCAGCCCUAUACCAUGUUGACACGUCAUUAUUCAAGGAAGAACAUAAAGUUGAUGNNNNNACCAUGAAAUUACUAUUAAAAACUAACUAAACUACUAUAAAAUUGCAAUUAAAAUUAACAAAUAACUGACUGUCAUCACAACCCCAAACUUGAACUGUUACUUGUCCUCAAGUGACAUGCCUGUCAAAAUAAAAUCGUCAGAGAAUUAACAAAUUAAUUUGAAUGAUAAAAAUCUCAUAAACCUUAUUCUCUUCAUCCGGUAAUAGAACCACCGGUCUUAACUUCAGUGAUUCUGCUCGAUCAACACUCUGGCUUCUAAGACUUCAAUCAGAUUCAGUCCAAUGACCGUUCCACACGAUGUUCAAGGUUCAACCUUAUCUCUCACUCACCAUUUCACUCAAACUCAAUUUGACAGGGUAUUCACUCCAUCAACAUGCAAAUGCUAUUUUACCAUAAGCUUGAAAAAAUUCUAAACGUCAAUCAAAGUAAAU